rnacentral:rRNA from 1 species
UACGAAGGGGGCUAGCGUUGUUCGGAAUUACUGGGCGUAAAGGGCGCGUAGGCGGUGUGUCAAGUCAGGCGUGAAAGCCCCGGGCUCAACCUGGGAACAGCGCUUGAGACUGGCACGCUCGAGUUCGGGAGAGGAUGGUGGAAUUCCCAGUGUAGAGGUGAAAUUCGUAGAUAUUGGGAGGAACACCAGUGGCGAAGGCGGCUCACUGGACCGGUUCUGACGCUGAGGCGCGAAAGCGUGGGGAGCAAACGGG